UGGGCUCAUGCUGGGAAGCAGAGGACUGCCAUCCAUCUGGAAGAAGUGGCCAGAGUGAGGUGCAUGCUACUUCAACCACCCCCCACCCUGAUCGGGAACUUCAGGGCCAGAUACUUUCUGAGGAUCUGACCCAUGUCACUGACUUGAGUAGGCGGACAGGCCAGGGUGCUUUGUAUGGGACCUGGCUCCCUGGUCCUCUGAGCUCCUCUUCCUCUCUUAGAAAAUUGCUGGGCAUGCUGAGCAACUUCAUAUCCAUCCAUCUGGAGUAAACAUCACAAUUAAUUAUUUGAGCCUGAACAAUCCAGGUUUUGGGCACAGCAGGCUCCUAGAGGGGCUCACAGCUGGAUAGCACCAGAUGGAUCCUCUGCAUAGCAAAACUUUUAGAAUAAGCUUUCAGAGGGGUGAUUUCUCUUUGGGAAGCUGAGACGAGACAUUCCUUUCCCUUCUUACUCUUGUUUUCCCCAUCCAGAAAUGCAAGAUGAGCACUCUUGCCCUCUCUGAGCACUGAACAGGCUGAAGGUCAUAGAGUCCUUGCCAUGUACAGUAGGAACUCUGGUUCUGAGCAGGCAGAGCCACACCUGCCUUCUCAGCUCCCCACUGUAGGUGGUCAUCAGGACCUGAGGGCCCACUUGCAAGUCGGGCCAUUCUCAUCCUCACCUGGUCUCUGAUCUCCCUUAAGGCUCAGACCCUGCUAACUCCUGGCAGGGCUUCCUAGGAACCAUUCCUUU
rnacentral:lncRNA from 1 species